rnacentral:rRNA from 1 species
UACGUAGGGUCCGAGCGUUGUCCGGAAUUACUGGGCGUAAAGAGCUCGUAGGUGGUUUGUCGCGUUGUCCGUGAAAACUCACAGCUUAACUGUGGGCGUGCGGGCGAUACGGGCAGACUGGAGUACUGCAGGGGAGACUGGAAUUCCUGGUGUAGCGGUGGAAUGCGCAGAUAUCAGGAGGAACACCGGUGGCGAAGGCGGGUCUCUGGGCAGUAACUGACGCUGAGGGGCGAAAGCGUGGGGAGCGAACAGG